CAGUUGGAAAGGACAUGGAGUGACUUCAUGAGCUGGAUUUCCAACCGCUCAACUCCGCUCACAUACUCUGUUCCUAUGUCAUAAAAACAGUUUGAGUUUGUUGAAGAGGUUGUGGAAGAAGGACGAGAGAGUGCCAAGCAGCAUGCUGCUUCUGAAGAUCACAGUGCUGAAAGGGUGUGGCUUGCGCUCGGCUUUCUUUCCCCUAGACACUUCUCACCCACUCAAUCUAGUCUUUUUGUCUCCCUUUCUCCUUAACUAGGUUUAUGCUAAUUCCACCAGUCUAUUCUAUUCCUGUAUUCCCUCCUACACCAUUAUCCCUCCCCUCUGUCUCAGUGAAGGUAGGGCUGCAGGGAGUCUUAGUAGAAAUAGCAGACUAGGGCUAGGUUCUUUGCCGGAAACACAUAUCAGAGGGCUGUGUCUGCUCUUUGCUGCUGUAGCUCCAGUAGACAGCAUCCAUGCCAUGUUCUGACACAGAGAAAGGGUUUCUCGGCUGCUGCACUGUGGCUGGCCAUCUCUGACAACUGGCUCUGCAGCCUGAGGAGAGGAGAUGAGCUCAUUCCUAAAGCUGCUGCUGACUCCAUUCAUAUGGCUGAAAUACACGACGGUGUCCAAAUACCAAUACUUUCGUCAUAAAAAACACAAUGCAUUGGAAGUGGAGGGGCUGCAAGUUUUGAAUAAAUAACUUGGAAGAUGGCGAAUAGCAAAGCUUCUACGGUGGUGUUCAAAUGAUCUACGUGAAGGAGUGUGAGCUGGAGGGGCCACUAUUACCUGCAUGGGUGAAAAAGAAGUGGGAGAACCUUAAGCAAAAAUACACAGUAUGCUACUGUAUGUUAGCUUGACAUUUAUUGCCGUGCUGUACUUGGCUAAUAAAGUUACCCUUUUCUCUGAGGGCACCAAAACUUUCCAAAAAUAUUUCCUAUGCUUCAACUGCACAUUCAUGUAUAUAAGUGUGAAGAGAAACAUGUUAGAAAGGUUCACGUAUUCCAGAUAAAUGUACUGGCAUAAUACCAGGUCUUUACAUGUAGUAUGUUUGAUGCUGAAAGUGAUCAUUUUUCAGGAGUUGAAAGCUCCCCCCACUGGAGUCAGCACUGAGAGAGGGGAGGCCACAGCUGCAUCCUAGAAGUGGUGAUGGAUAAGGCGCUGGGGGGCUGCCACUCCAUCACCCCACCGGUUAUGAACAUCAUCUCCUCAUCCUCCCAAGGUGCAGCUGUGGGCUCCUCUCCCUCCCAGAAAGGUCUAGUCUGGAGAAGGAGGUGACUGACAGGGAGGCACAUCUUAUGACCAUUUUAGAGGCCAUGAAGUAGUUAUGUAUUUUGUAUGUAAUUUAAUGUAGCUAUUAAUUUUCUAAUGUUUUUGGUGAAGUCAUUUUUGGGGGGAUUUCAGUUUUUUUUUCAUUGAAAUGUGUUUCUUGUUUGUAAAACAUUUGAUUUGAUACCAGUACAUCCACUGUUGGUGUGUUUUACUUUCAACAUUCAAAAAUACAUUCGUACAUCUGA